AUUGAACGCUGGCGGCAGGCCUAACACAUGCAAGUCGAACGCGUGCCGGACGGGUGAGUAUCGUCUGGGAAACUGCCUGCUGUUGGGGGAUAACUCCCGGAAACGGUCGCUAAUACCGCAUACCCUCAGAUGUGCCCAGAUGGGAUCCGCUUGUUGGUGGGGUAAAGGCUCACCACGGCGACGAUCCCUAGCUGGUCUGUGAGGAUGAACAGCCACCCGGGAACGGAGACACGGCCCAGACUCCUACGGGAGGCGGCAGUGGGGAAUAUUGCACAAUGGGCGCAAGCCUGAUGCAGCCAUGCCGCGUGUAUGAAGAAGGCCUUCGGGUUGUAAAGUACUUUCAGCGGGAAGGCGUUACCCUCAGAAGAAGCACCGGCUAACUCCGUGCCAGCAGCCGCGGUAAUUC
rnacentral:rRNA from 1 species